AUGGAACGAAAUUUGCUUACUGGAAAUCUUCCUGAAUCAGUUGGAAAUCUUUCCAACUUGUUUGUCUUAAGCUUGUCUCAGAACAAACUUUCCGGAUCAAUUCCACUUUCUGUCGGUAAACUGAGUCAACUGAGUGAGCUCUAUUUACAGGAAAAUAAUUUUAGUGGCCCUAUCCCAGGAGCUUUAGCAGGCAGCAAGAAGUUAGAAAAACUAAACCUCUCUUAUAACAGCUUUGGUGGGAGAAUACCAAAGGAGUUGUUUUCUCUUCCCUCCCUUUCCCAGGGAUUGGACUUGUCCCACAACCAACUCUUUGGACAGAUACCUCCGGAGAUUGGCAGCCUGAAAAAUCUUGGGCCACUGAAUAUUUCCCAUAAUCAACUGUCUGGACAAAUACCCCCCACUCUAGGUCAGUGCGUCCAUCUGGAGUCCCUCCACAUGGAGGGUAACCUCUUUCAUGGGAAAAUCCCUCACUCCUUCAUAAGUUUGGGAGGCAUCAUUGAGAUGGAUCUAUCUCAAAACAACUUAUCAGGUGAAAUCCCUGACAUCUUUAAGUUCUUUAAGUCUAUGAAGCUUCUCAAUUUGUCCUUCAACAAUCUCGAGGGUCCUGUACCAGCAGAUGGAAUAUUUCAGAAUGGAAGAAAGGUUUUUAUUCAAGGGAACAUGAAGUUAUGUACCAGCACGCCAUUGCUACGGGUGCCAUUUUGCAAUGCAGAGGCAUCCAAACAAUGGAAUAGCUCCAGCAUUCUCAAGAUAGUAGGAUUUACAGUUCUUUCUUUGGUCCUGUUAUCAUGCUUUGCAACCAUUAUUUUGAAGAAGAAAAAUAACUUCAAACAAGCAGCUCAUCCAUCCUGCAAAGAGUUGAAGAAGUUCACAUAUGCUAAUUUAAUGAGGGCAACAAAUGGUUUCUCAUCAGAUAACUUGAUCGGUUCAGGAAAAUAUGGGUCUGUGUACAGAGGUAGAAUUGAAUCUGAAGAACAUGAAGUUGCCAUCAAAGUUUUCAAACUCAAUCAACUCAGAGCACCAAAAAGCUUCAUUGCUGAGUGUGAAGCAUUGAGAAAUACUCGUCACAGGAAUCUUAUAAGGGUGAUUACUGCAUGCUCAACCAUUGAUCCAACAGGACAUGAUUUCAAAGCUAUUGUUCUUGAAUAUAGUGUUAACGGCGACCUGGGAAGUUGGCUCCAUCCAACAGUCCAUGAGGAUGGUCAGAGAAGGCCAUUGAGUUUUGGUACAAGAAUAGUAAUAGCAGUGGAUUUCGGGUUGGCUAAGUUCCUGCAUAGUUACACUUCUUCGGACAUUCAUACUUCUACAAGCUUAGUGGGGCCAAGAGGAUCAGUUGGAUACAUUGCCCCAGAAUAUGGAUUUGGGAGCAAAAUCUCCACUGAGGGCGAUGUAUUUAGCUAUGGAGUCAUCAUCUUAGAAAUGCUAACAGGAAAGCGUCCAACCAAUGAGAUGUUUAAAGAUGGCCUGACCCUUUACAAAUUUUUUGAAAAACCAUUUCCUCAAAAGAUUGAGGAGAUUCUAGACCCUAGAAUAGUUCCAGGUUAUAGAGAUGAAGGUGAAGAUGCAGGCGGUGAUUUAGACUGGGAAACUCAGCCAAUGGUUGCAAUGAACUGCAUCAUAAAGCUCAUUGAGCUUGGGUUGUUGUGCUCUGCGGAGACACCUAAAGAUCGGCCAACUAUACAGCACAUAUACAACGAAGUUAUCACAAUCAAAGAAUCAUUUUCAGCAUUGCAGAGCUGA
rnacentral:rRNA from 1 species